UACGGUGGGGGCAAGCGUUGUUCGGAAUUACUGGGCGUAAAGGGCUCGUAGGCGGCCAACUAGGUCAGACGUGAAAUCCCCAGGCUCAACCUGGGAACUGCGUCUGAUACUGGUUGGCUUGAAUCCGGGAGAGGGAUGCAGAAUUCCAGGUGUAGCGGUGAAAUGCGUAGAUAUCUGGAGGAAUACCGGUGGCGAAGGCGGCAUCCUGGACCGGCAUUGACGCUGAGGAGCGAAAGCCAGGGGAGCAAACGGG
rnacentral:rRNA from 1 species